rnacentral:rRNA from 1 species
UACGGAGGUCCCGAGCGUUGUUCGGAUUCACUGGGCGUAAAGGGUGCGUAGGUGGUGAGGUAAGUCGGAUGUGAAAUCUCCAGGCUCAACCUGGAAACUGCAUUGGAAACUACCUUGCUGGAGGAUUUGAGGGGGGAUUGGAAUACUUGGUGUAGCAGUGAAAUGCGUAGAUAUCAAGUGGAACACCAGUGGCGAAGGCGAAUCCCUGGAAAAUACCUGACACUGAGGCACGAAAGCUAGGGGAGCAAACAGG